rnacentral:rRNA from 1 species
AAUAUUGCGCAAUGGGGGGAACCCUGACGCAGCAACGCCGCGUGAGUGAAGAAGGUUUUCGGAUCGUAAAGCUCUGUCAUUGGGGACGAAAAGAUGACGGUACCCAAGGAGGAAGCCCCGGCUAACUACGUGCCAGCAGCCGCGGUAAUACGUAGGGGGCGAGCGUUGUCCGGAAUUACUGGGCGUAAAGCGCGCGCAGGUGGCUUGUUAAGUCAGGUGUCAAAAUGCGGGGCUCAACCCCGUACCGCACUUGAAACUGGCAGGCUUGAGUGCAGGAGAGGGAAGUGGAAUUCCUAGUGUAGCGGUGAAAUGCGUAGAUAUUAGGAGGAACACCAGUGGCGAAGGCGACUUCCUGGACUGUAACUGACACUGAGGCGCGAAAGCUAGGGGAGCAAAC